UACGUAGGGGGCUAGCGUUGUCCGGAUUUAUUGGGCGUAAAGAGCGUGUAGGCGGCCAUGUAGGUCCGGUGUGAAAACUCGAGGCUUAACCUCGAGAUGUCAUCGGAAACCAUUUGGCUAGAGUCCGGAAGAGGAGAGUGGAAUUCCCGGUGUAGCGGUGAAAUGCGCAGAUAUCAGGAAGAACACCAAUGGCGAAAGCAGCUCUCUGGGACGGUACUGACGCUGAGACGCGAAAGCGUGGGGAGCGAACAGG
rnacentral:rRNA from 1 species